UUCUCUCUGCCCUCUACAGUUUGACUCAGCACCAGAGAACCUGUGUCCUCUCCAAGAACAAGACACCACUCCAGUGGCAGAUGACAAACAUGGCAUUUCUUAUACUUCGAUGGACCAACAGAAGAGCUUUAAGAGUUCCUCAAUGCCAACUCAUGAUCACAUCUUCCAGCAAAAUCUCACCAUCCCACAGAAGCCCUUAACCCGAUGACCUGCAGUGCCACACUCCGUGUAUUUGACAAGCUGAGUUGGACACUCCAUGUGGUAGAGUGUCAGUUUGUCAAAUACCCCAAGUGCGGCACAUGCCUAGCAGCUCCAUCUGGGGCAGAUGGGACAGAAGAAAUAGACGGCCGGCUGGAUAUGAGAAUGCUCACCCAAAAUCAAACUCUUCCAAGUCAUACUUCUGUCAUUCUGAGGGAACCAAGGCAUUGCAUGAAGGGUUUUGGAGGGAGGGAGGGAGACAGUUCUCUGAACUCCAACCUUCGGUUGUUUCUACACACAUUGUAAGAAUGCUGAGAAGCACAUAGUAAUCUUGAAAAAGAAUAAGGAUAUGGGGACAUAGAUGCUCUUGAAUUUUGUUUAAUUCUUUUCUUUCUUCACAUUCCCCUUCCAGUCUCACAGUCAGGGCCCCGUAAUUCUCACAAAACAAUCAUCACUUUUGUGACAGAGCAGGACACAGAAAUCCACUUUGUUGUAACUCAUUCUUAACUUCUUUUGUUCUCAUUGAGUUUAUUGGUACAUUUUAGGUAUACAGUACAGUUACAUUCACCAUUGGGCUCUUGCACCUUUACAUGACAGGUCUUGGUUUACCUUCUAAACAAACCUUUCCCUUGCCCAUCUUGUCUCUUUUCCUCUUUCCUUUUCUAAUUCUCAGAACAUCUCCAUUUCGCCAUGAAUGUCCAGUCCUUCUCCAUAUUUCCUGGUCUCAGCAAAGUUUAGUCUCUCUGGGGACUUUUGACAGUUAACCUAUGCUUUUUCUUUCUUCAUUCACAAAACACUCUUUGCCUGGGUCCUGGUAUGUGCUACUAUAUUUUCUACCAACCAAUACAAACUUUUGCAUUGCUAUUGAUAUUUUUACAGGGAUAUUUUGCAAUUACAUGUGAGCUGCUAGAAGAUAAAAUUUUUUACUUGAUUACUGUCUCCCUUACCAA